rnacentral:misc_RNA from 1 species
UCUCCGUUGGUGAACCAGCGGAGGGAUCAUUACCGAGUUUACAACUCCCAAACCCAAUGUGAACCAUACCAAACUGUUGCCUCGGCGGGGUCACGCCCCGGGUGCGUCGCAGCCCCGGAACCAGGCGCCCGCCGGAGGGACCAACCAAACUCUUUCUGUAGUCCCCUCGCGGACGUUAUUUUUACAGCUCUGAGCAAAAAUUCAAAAUGAAUCAAAACUUUCAACAACGGAUCUCUUGGUUCCG